GAGGUGUGGGAGGGGUCGGAUCGGGGCUCGGCGGGACCUCCGUGCCCGGACCGCGGCUGCUCCCGGGGCUCUCAGCCGGUCAGACGCGGGUGUGCUCUGUGGAAUGAACCGAAAGCUGUAAACAAGAGCCAGCAGAAAUGGGAGCUGCAGGUGACACUGGACGCACCGAGCAAUUAACGCUGCACUGAGCAACUCCUGCAGCAUCGCCUGGUGGCAGCAAAGGCCCGUGGAAAAAUCCCAAAUGGCC